ensembl:snRNA U6 U6 spliceosomal RNA
GUGCUCGCUUUGGCAGCACAUAUACUAAAAUUGGAAUGAUAUAGAGAAGAUUAGCAUGGCCCCUGCACAAGAAUGACAUGCAAAUUCAUGAAGCAUUCCAUAUUUUU